GAUGAAGAACACAGCGAAAUGCGAUAAGUAAUGUGAAUUGCAGAAUUCAGUGAAUCAUCGAAUCUUUGAACGCACAUUGCGCCCAUUAGUAUUCUAGUGGGCAUGCCUGUUCGAGCGUCAUUGCUGCCCUCAAGCACGGCUUGUGUGUUGGGCCUCCGUCCUCCUCCCGGGGGACGGGCCCGAAAGGCAGCGGCGGCACCGCGUCCGGUCCUCGAGCGUAUGGGGCUUCGUCACCCGCUCUUGUAGGCCCGGCCGGCGCUUGCCGACACAUCAAUCUUUUUUCUAGGUUGACCUCGGAUCAGGUAGGGAUACCCGCUGAACUUAAGCAUAUCAAUAAGCGGAGGA
rnacentral:misc_RNA from 1 species